rnacentral:rRNA from 1 species
GAUGAACGCUGGCGGCGUGCCUAAUACAUGCAAGUCGAGCGAAUGGAUUAAGAGCUUGCUCUUAUGAAGUUAGCGGCGGACGGGUGAGUAACACGUGGGUAACCUGCCCAUAAGACUGGGAUAACUCCGGGAAACCGGGGCUAAUGCCGGAUAAUAUUUUGAACUGCAUGGUUCAAAAUUGAAAGGCGGCUUCGGCUGUCACUUAUGGAUGGACCCGCGUCGCAUUAGCUAGUUGGUGAGGUAACGGCUCACCAAGGCAACGAUGCGUAGCCGAGCUGAGAGGGUGAUCGGCCACACUGGGACUGAGAAACGGCCCAGACUCCUACGGGAGGCAGCAGUAGGGAAUCUUCCGCAAUGGACGAAAGUCUGACGGAGCAACGCCGCGUGAGUGAUGAAGGCUUUCGGGUCGUAAAACUCUGUUGUUAGGGAAGAACAAGUGCUAGUUGAAUAAGCUGGCACCUUGACGGUACCUAACCAGAAAGCCACGGCUAACUACGUGCCAGCCGCCGCAGUAA